CAUUUUUUGUACGAUGAACCAAAGGAGGAGGUGAUUGAGAAUUUGUGCAUAGAGAACAUCAUGAUGUCUUAUGUAUUUGUUUAUACUGCAUGGGUUGUCAAUUAAUCAAUCUCUGUGAUGACUUGUGUUGAGAGAGAUAAUUGUGUCCGAUCAGAAGUAACAUGAAGUGCUCAUCAAGAGUGGGAGAUGUGGCACGAUUAUGUGCAAGCCUUUCGAGGGGAUGGUGCGUGCCAAGUGGAUGAGUCAACAUGUUUCAGGUUAUGCACAAUGAAAACGAGUUCAAGAUAAUGCAAAGACUACCUUUCUUUGCUAAUUAAGGAGAGAUCAUUGCAUGAGAGAAAAUUAUCUUUAUGAUCGCCUGGCUUUCCUCGUUGCUAUGAUAUCCGAUUUCACUCUGGAAAGGGAUGGGGCAAGGAGGAAUCAUAUACUUGGAGGCGUAGGGGAGGGAGAAAAAAAAAGAAAUACAUUCGAGACCAUAGCUUUGCAGGAAAACUAGUACAUAUUGUGUUCCAUUUAUUUGACAAGCUAAUGCUCAUUAUUCAGUGGCAAUGUAUUGUAAUUUUAGGAACCUAAAAUGCACGCUCUCUUGACUGGAUGAUAUUGACAUUAGAAAGCAGAAAUAUUCACA